UACGGAGGGUGCGAGCGUUGUCCGGAAUCAUUGGGCGUAAAGGGCGCGUAGGUGGCCCGGUGAGUCUUUGGUGAAAGCGCGGGGCUCAACCCUGCGUCGGCCAGGGAUACUGCCGCGGCUCGAGCACUGUAGAGGCAGGCGGAAUUCCGGGUGUAGCGGUGGAAUGCGUAGAGAUCCGGAGGAACACCGGUGGCGAAGGCGGCGUUCUGGACUGCAACUGACACUGAUGAACGAAAGCCAGGGGAGCAAACGGG
rnacentral:rRNA from 1 species